UACUCGAGUGGCGAACGGGUGAGUAACACGUGGGUGAUCUGCCCUGCACUUCGGGAUAAGCUUGGGAAACUGGGUCUAAUACCGGAUAGGAACCAUCUUUAGUGUGGUGGUUGGAAAGUUUUUUCGGUGUAGGAUGAGCUCGCGGCCUAUCAGCUUGUUGGUGGGGUAAUGGCCUACCAAGGCGGCGACGGGUAGCCGGCCUGAGAGGGUGUACGGCCACAUUGGGACUGAGAUACGGCACAG
rnacentral:rRNA from 1 species